AACCCAGAUGCUAGUACUAGAGGAGGUUUUUUUUUUACACGGAAAUAACCUUCUCCAAAGCUGCAGUUUCCACGCCACAUUAUAAUAUUUUCCUAUAUUGUCACUCAUUUUUUUCCAUGGCACAUUUGCGAAGAUCUGAUCACUGCACGGCAGUGUCUUUAAUCAGGCUCUACGGGCUGUAAAGUGAGAGAAUCUAAACGUGACGUCAAUGCCUAGUAACUGACGCAGCCCUUAAACAAAAAAAAGAGGCAUUUUAUUUAUUAUUUUUUCUUCGUCUCGUCAGCAAAGCCUAAUUUCUAAAUGUUAUAGUACUCCGUCGACUAAAAUAAAAAAGAAAAUCCCUCAGGGAGCGUCAGGUAAUCCGCGUUCAUCAGUAUUUGGACCUGCGUUCAUGAGUUUCAUGCUGAAUUGACCCUGGGACGAGAAGCUUCUGAAGAGGGCGACAAUACAUAAAAUAUUGUCGCUAAUAUUGGCAGCGACGACGAGUUCCAGAUUUUAGUUGUAGAGGGUGAAAGUAGUGUGUUUUAAGGCUGAGAACGGGGUGGUGGGGCUGUUGAAGGCACAUUGGGUUGCUAAAAAAAUCACUGCAAUGAUGCAACGGAGGGGAAUCGGGGCUCUUGUGCAGAGUUGUAGAGGCAAAAUUAAUUUACAUUACAUGCACUUCACGUAAUGUUCCUACGCGAUGCCUUUUGUGAGUGUUUUUCUCUUCCUCAUACUGUGACCUAAAAAUAGCAUCAUAGUUUUGAUCGUGCGCCAGAAAUAGACAGACGGGUAUCACUUGUAUAAAAAGGGAGGCGAUCCUGAGCAAACUUGGACGUGCCACUAACAAGGACGUGCCUGCACCACGGUAUGGCUUUUAUUGGCAUGCUUUACGACCCAUAUUUGACUGUAGAGCCGAAGCAUAGAGCAACCCUUCCCGCAGAGUAGGAAUCACCUCUUUUGGAUAGAACAAUGACGACAAAAGCAAAUAUGGAAAUUAGGUGACUUGUGUGGCCGGGUGGACCCUGCCGCUGCUGUGGGAGCCUCCAGCUGUGCGCCGGAGGAGAAAAGGGGACCCACGUUUUGGAUGUUUUCACCGAUGAACGCAGACGGAAAAAGAGAGAAAGAGAGACUCCGACGGACCUUCCUCCUCCUAUUGUCCUCCUCCUCUUCCUCAUCCCGAGAAAGGACUUGGUGUAUGCAAUCCCACAGCACUGAAGCAACACGUGGUGGCCUGUGGAGUGCGUUCUUACCUUAACUGCAGGACCUCAAUGAUGAUUGUGAGAGGAAAGAAAAUGGAAACUAACAUAGCCGAUGACGCAGAAAGGAACAAUAAAGGUCGGCAGGGAGAGAGGAGGCAGCUGGACGGGCGACCAGAGAGCUUGGAUCAACCAACACCUUUUUUUCCAGCAGCACCACCCGAAACCCCUGGGAGUCAAGCCAGUUUGAGUGGGACACACCCGCACCUCCCUGUCCUCUAGGACCACAGAGAGUCGUCUAAUCCCAGUAUGGGAAGGUAAAAAAAGGAUGUUGCGACAACAGCCACCAUGUAAAGCAGCUGUAACUGGACGUAACAUACACAUGAACACAGAUGCAGCUGCUGUAAUGAUGCUGUGGUUGUCAGAUGAAAUAGGACUAUGGCUGUUGGGCUGCGAGAACACGACCGAGACGUGAAGGUGGACUCUCAAAACGUCCAAUAGCUGUGUGUGUGUGUGUGUGUGUGUGUGUGUGUGUGUGUGUGUGUGUGUGUGUGUGUGUGUUGGACUUAAACAUAGACCUAUGUUGAUUCCUUUUAACUUUUGGAAUAUGAAGGUGAGACUGAUCAGACUGCUCAGACAUCAGGAAACGUUAAAUAUGGUGUUUAGAAUUGUUUAGUUCUUUAAUUCAUGCUUGCAUGUGUGUGUGUGUUAUGAAAGUUUACUGUAUGGUGACACAAUGAGUUUAAAAGGGUUUGUAAUGUCUCUAUGUUUUUUCUUGUUGCAGGUAAAAAAAGGAUGUUGCGACAACAGCCACCAUGUAAAGCAGCUGUAACUGGACAUAACAUACACAUGAACACAGAUGCAGCUGCUGUAAUGAUGCUGUGGUUGUCAGAUGAAAUAGGACUAUGGCUGUUGGGCUGCGAGGACACGACCGAGACGUGAAAGUGGACUCUCAAAACGUCCAAUAGCAGUGUGUGUGUGUGUGUGUGUGUGUGUGUGUGUGUGUGUGUGUGUGUGUGUGUGUGUGUGUGUGUGUGUGUGUGUGUGUGUGUGUGUGUGUGCGCUUUAUGUGUGAAAUUUAAUUAUAUUUAAUGCUAUCAGUUUAAACACACUUUGAGGCUACUCUCUUACAAAACCGAUGUCGUUUUGAUGACUGUUACACUACACUUAAAUGCUGUUUUUAAUAUGGAAAUUGUUGGCAAAUAUUUGUGUGAAAAACAUAGGUCCAUGUUAGAGUCUGUUACUUCAUAAAUGUUUAUUAACUUGAAGAUCAGUUUAUAAUACUGACUGUGCAAUGAUGUCAGAGUAUAAAAUCGGUGCUGUAAAAGUAUUUUUGUAAAGAUUAUUUUGUGAAAGAUGACAUUUUGUAAACAUAUUUUACCCUGUACCUGGCCAGAAAUGCAUUUAAUUUCACCCCGUUUGAUAAUUGUUACACAACGUGCUGCUCCUUCCUCUCGGUGUCACGUUGACUUCGAUCCCUUCACUUGUGUCAAAGAAUGCGAGCAGCUGCACGAUGACUGUCAGCAUGUAGAAACAUUUUUAUACUCUUGUUCCUCUGCUGAGUACAUGUCAGGCUUUGCUUUGUGCCACAGAGCCUCGGUGUGUCAGAAUCUCAUGUUUAGUUUGGGUGUGAGAGAAACAUGGAGCAUGGCGGCAGAGGGGGUGAGUUGGAGACUAAAAAAAUGCUGUUGCAAAUAGGCUUUCUGGGUCGGAGUGGGGAACAGAAAUCACAUACUGCUGAGAAAAUCGGGACAGCUGGUUGUGCUGAAACAUCCAGCGUCUGUAAACAUGUCUGACUUAUUCAUGUGCAUGGAAAUGUUAAAAAGACGAUGGAAAUAAAGCGAUGGAAAUUCA